rnacentral:rRNA from 1 species
CAGGCCUAACACAUGCAAGUCGAGCGGAAACGAUCCUAGCUUGCUAGGAGGCGUCGAGCGGCGGACGGGUGAGUAACACGUGAGAAUCUGCCCAUUAGAGGGGGAUAACCUGGGGAAACCCAGGCUAAUACCGCAUAAUCCCUACGGGGGAAAGCAGGGGAUCUUCGGACCUUGUGCUGAUGGAUGAGCUCGCGUCGGAUUAGCUUGUUGGUGAGGUAAUGGCUCACCAAGGCGACGAUCCGUAGCUGGUCUUAGAGGAUGAUCAGCCACACCGGGACUGAGACACGGCCCGGACUCCUACGGGAGGCAGCAGUGGGGAAUCUUGGACAAUGGGGGCAACCCUGAUCCAGCCAUGCCGCGUGUGUGAAGAAGGCCUUCGGGUUGUAAAGCACUUUCAGUAGGGAGGAAGGCUUAUCCUUAAUACGGAUGAGUACUUGACGUUACCUACAGAAGAAGCACCGGC